rnacentral:rRNA from 1 species
GGGUAUUUAGGUUGUAGCUGGCUCCAUUAGUUUGGAGCAUGUGCACACCUUUUGCUCUUUUUUUAAUCCACACACACCUGUGAACCUGUGAGGCAGAGACAUGGACGGGAGAACUUUUAUUUACUUUAAAAUGAAUGAUUGGGACCCCUACCCCCCUCUGUCUACUCAACUCUAAUAUAAACCCAAUUUAUUUUAAAAUGAAUGUAAUGGAUGUAACGCAUCUAAUACUAAGUUUCAACAACGGAUCUCUUGGCUCUCGCAUCGAUGAAGAACGCAGCGAAAUGCGAUAAGUAAUGUGAAUUGCAGAAUUCAGUGAAUCAUCGAAUCUUUGAACGCACCUUGCGCUCCUUGGUAUUCCUUGGAGCAUGCCUGUUUGAGUAUCAUGAAAUCUUCAAAGUAAACCUUUUUGUUAACUCGAUUUGGUUUCACUUUGGUAUUGGAGGUUCUUGCAGCUUCACACUCUGCUCCUCUUUGUUCAUUAGCUGGAUCUCAGUGUUAUGCUUGGUUCCACUCGGCGUGAUAAAUUAUCUAUCGCUGAGGACACCCGAUAAAAAGGUUGGCCAAGGUAAAUGCAGAUGAACCGCUUCUAAUAGUCCAUUGACUUGG